rnacentral:rRNA from 1 species
GAUGAACGCUGGCGGCGUGCCUAAUACAUGCAAGUCGAGCGAACAGACGAGGAGCUUGCUCCUCUGACGUUAGCGGCGGACGGGUGAGUAACACGUGGAUAACCUACCUAUAAGACUGGGAUAACUUCGGGAAACCGGAGCUAAUACCGGAUAAUAUAUUGAACCGCAUGGUUCAAUAGUGAAAGACGGUUUUGCUGUCACUUAUAGAUGGAUCCGCGCCGCAUUAGCUAGUUGGUAAGGUAACGGCUUACCAAGGCAACGAUGCGUAGCCGACCUGAGAGGGUGAUCGGUCACACUGGAACUGAGACACGGUCCAGACUCCUACGGGAGGCAGCAGUAGGGAAUCUUCCGCAAUGGGCGAAAGCCUGACGGAGCAACGCCGCGUGAGUGAUGAAGGUCUUCGGAUCGUAAAACUCUGUUAUUAGGGAAGAACAAAUGUGUAAGUAACUAUGCACGUCUUGACGGUACCUAAUCAGAAAGCCACGGCUAACUACAUG